UACGUAGGGAGCAAGCGUUGUCCGGAAUCAUUGGGCGUAAAGCGCGCGUAGGUGGCUUCGUAAGUCCGUUGUGAAAGUCAAAGGCUCAACCUUUGAAAGCCGAUGGAUACUGUGGAGCUAGAGUACGGAAGAGGCGAGUGGAAUUCCUGGUGUAGCGGUGGAAUGCGCAGAUAUCAGGAGGAACACCAAUAGCGAAGGCAGAUCUCUGGGCCGUAACUGACGCUGAGGAGCGAAAGCAUGGGGAGCGAACAGG
rnacentral:rRNA from 1 species